UUGGGCGUAAAGAGCUCGUAGGCGGCCUGUCGCGUCGGAUGUGAAAGCCCACUGCUUAACGGUGGGUCUGCUUCCGAUACGGGCGGGCUGGAGUAUGGCAGGGGAGACUGGAAUUCCUGGUGUAGCGGUGGAAUGCGCAGAUAUCAGGAGGAACACCGGUGGCGAAGGCGGGUCUCUGGGCCAUUACUGACGCUGAGGAGCGAAAGCGUGGGGAGCGAACAGGAUUAGAUACCCUGGUAGUCCACGCCGUAAACGUUGGGCGCUAGGUGUGGGGACUGUUUCCACGGUCUCCCUGCCGGAGCUAACGCAUUAAGCGCCCCGCCUGGGGAGUACGGCCGCAAGG
rnacentral:rRNA from 1 species